UUCCAGUCUGGCCCCGCCUCCACAAGGUCAUCAGGUCGACUAAAACCAGGACAGAGGCGAAUGUAUCCAAAAUGAGGCUGUCUGUCAAUGUCUACUGUAACACUUAAAAACUGUUCUCAAUUCAUACCGGAAAUGAGAAUUGCCAUCUUGUCCAACUAAUUUGCAUUUUGGUCUGUUGUACAAUAUCACUGUUAAUGUCUGGAUCAUUUUUAUGAAGUAAAAAAUAUUCCUGGGGUAACUGCAGUAAAAUGGCAUUUUCAAAUAUGAUUUUUGACUUCGAUCUCUUACUUGUGCAAUAGUACAUGAAAAUAUAUCUAAAACACAACAAAAUUAACUUUUUAAGGCCAAUAGUCAUCCAUGUUCAUUAACGAUAGAAAUAUUUGUCUUUAGAAAUGAAGUAUACAUGUCCUCUAGCCGAUGUCAUUGUACUAUGGUAAUAUUUUGAUGAACUCUUGGGGGAAUUUUUGCUAUAGGGUGGAAGGUUCAUUUUCCCAGAUGCUAACUGUAAGUGCUUCAGUCAUCUAUUGUUGGACUGUAUUCACCAUCUGCAUAAUCUUAGAUUUUCAUCAACAUUUUCCAUUAAGUUGUUUCCUAGCCACAUUUUUUGUUUCCUUGGUAGAUGAUUGGGGUUGGUGUCUCCCAUUUUCUCCUAAUUAGGUGAAAAGGUCUCAUUUUUGUAAAUUACCUUCAAUAGAUGUUUACUGGUUUUGGACAGAACUUUAUAAGUAUGUGUGAACAAGAUGAUGUCAUUUGUCAGUAAAUCUAUUAUGAGUAUUCUGUUAAACAAACUUUUGAUGAUUUUGUGUAUGUCAGUACAUGUAUUAUCUCAAAUGUGUUCAGCUUGAAGUGGUUCAUGACACUUAACGAUGGGAAAACUUAGAGAAACCUGCAUUUAAUUAAUUAUUUUAAAUGACUGAAUGGGGAGCUGAUACGAGUCCAUGAAAGAAAACUAUAGAAUAUGUUUCAAUGGAAUAUGUUUCUGGUGAUUGACCUAUUUAUGGAAUAGAUUUAGUCAGUUGAGAACAAAGUGCUGGCCACACUGAGUAAUGCCAUGUGAUUGUAUUAUGUGAUUUACCCUUGGGGUUUAUUUAUUGUUUGUAUAUAUCAAACAUUAUAGUCAUUCUAAGAAAAAGUUAUAUUAAAAUUUUGUAUAUAUAAAAUCUGAUUGUGUGCACUGUGUGUAUUGGCAAGGCCUCUACUGGUGACCUAUUGUCUUGUAUGUUGAUUAGGACAAGUUUUAAGGACUUCAAUGCCAUUGUAAUGCAUUGAAACAUUUGUGUAUUUUAUCACACUUUUAAAUCUACACACAAAGCUACUCUCUUUGUGAUUUUUGAGGUGAACAUGAACUUUUUAAAUCAUGAAUACAGUUGUCAAAUUUCUUGUAUUGUUUUGACAUCAACUUUUUUUUUCUCUGGUUUUUAAUUACUCAAGACUGCUAAUACCUCUAAUUAUUUAGUUUUUAAUUCUUCCCUUAUGGGAGAGAGUGUAUCAAGAGUCACUAUAAUAUUGUAAACUUCAAAUAUUCUCAUCACAAGAAGCACUGUACAUUAUUCUGAUUUGCAAAUAAUUCAACUGUUUGGUUUGUACUGCAAACCCCCACUAGACCAUUCCUUAGUAAUCAUAAUAUAUUAGGCUCUCUGAUUCUGUUGCUGUUGUAUUUAUUUGUCAUAAAAAUGAUUUAUUUUUUUGUUUGUUUGAAAAUGAUUGUAAGUUUCCAUUAGAUCAUAAAUUUGAGCAUUGGAUUCAUCACAUUAAAGUAUUGUGAAAUAUC
rnacentral:misc_RNA from 1 species